rnacentral:rRNA from 1 species
UACGUAGGGGGCUAGCGUUGUCCGGAAUCAUUGGGCGUAAAGAGCGUGUAGGCGGCCCGAUUAGUCCGCUGUGAAGGUCCAGGGCUCAACCCUGGAAUGCCGGUGGAUACUGUCGGGCUAGAGUCCGGAAGGGGCGAGUGGAAUUCCUGGUGUAGCGGUGAAAUGCGCAGAUAUCAGGAGGAACACCAAUGGCGAAGGCAGCUCGCUGGGACGUGACUGACGCUGAGACGCGAAAGCGUGGGGAGCAAACAGG